rnacentral:rRNA from 1 species
GACGAAGUACCCAAGCGUUAUCCGGAUUCAUUGGGUUUAAAGGGUGCGUAGGCGGGUUGGUAAGUCCGUGGUGAAAUCUCCAAGCUUAACUUGGAAACUGCCGUGGAUACUAUCAAUCUUGAAUAUCGUGGAGGUAAGCGGAAUAUGUCAUGUAGCGGUGAAAUGCUUAGAUAUGACAUAGAACACCAAUUGCGUAGGCAGCUUACUACACGAUCAUUGACGCUGAGGCACAAAAGCGUGGGGAGCAAACAGG